CCUACGGGUGGCAGCAGUCGAGAAUCAUUCACAAUGGGGGAAACCCUGAUGGUGCGACGCCGCGUGGGGGAAUGAAGGUCUUCGGAUUGUAAACCCCUGUCAUGUGGGAGCAAAUUAAAAAGAUAGUACCACAAGAGGAAGUAACGGCUAACUCUGUGCCAGCAGCCGCGGUAAUACAGAGGUCUCAAGCGUUGUUCGGAAUCACUGGGGGUAAAGCGUGCGUAGGCUGUUUCGUAAGUCGUGUGUGAAAGGCGCGGGCUCAACCCGCGGACGGCACAUGAUACUGCGAGACUAGAGUAAGGGAGGGGGAAGCGGAAUUCGGGGUGUAGCAGUGAAAUGCGUAGAUAUCGAGAGGAACACUCGUGGCGAAGGCGGGUUCCUGGACAUUAACUGACGCUGAGGCACGAAGGCCAGGGGAGCGAAAGGGAUUAGAUACCCCGGUAGUC
rnacentral:rRNA from 1 species